UCAAAUUCAUUUGCUCAACUAAGAAUGGAGACUCGUAAUUAGCGUUAUGUAUUAUGUCGUUUGUCUUCACCUUUUACAAUUUUUUUUUUAAAAACAAAAUAUUUGAUCGCUCGCAUCCACAGACUAAGCAUAGCAAAUGGGAGAGCUGUUCUAUCUCAAACGAUGUGCUGUGAAGCUAUGGAGCAUAUUCAUGUGUACUAACUUUGUAUUCAUUCCACAAUGGACAAGGAUCGGUUUCUCAUGGAAAUCUAAGAAAGUGCACAAGACACAUUUGGUCAUCUUGGAUUCUUUCAGUGUUGGCCAAGCCUGGAGGAGCUGGUGUUUGAUUACAGCUUGCAUAACUUUGUCUAUUUUCAACUGCUUGCUCCUUCUUGGGAAAUUCAUCUCACUUGAAGGAACAUUUGCCUUUGGCCUCUUUGUUAUGUUCUCCACCUCUAUUGUACGUCCUGAGUGUAGUUCACAUUACAGAUAAGUCGGCAAAACACAGAGGCCAUGGCAAGAAAGGAUGGAAUGCUCAUGACGCCAUAAUAUUUGGAAUUCAGUCAAAUUUUAAAAAUCUAAUUAGACAAGUCUCAUGGACGCCUCUGUGAUGGCACCUCGGUGAAACAUGUCCAGAGCUAAAAUAACCUAAUGCUAGUCCUAGGCAGGGAAUUGCUUUUUACGCAUUCUAUCCAACACAUUCUCCUCGUCAGCUCCCCAAACGUUGAUAAUGCAUACCCUUAUUGUCUCUGCCCCACUUUGGACAAUAGUCUCACCCUGUCAUGGCAUCCAUCACUUGCACUCACAACUGACCUCAUUAGAGGAGACAGGAGAGCAAUGCAGACGCAGAGUGUGCCUUGCAUGUCUUUGAUCAUAUGAUGUGUCAUGGAGCUAGUGAUGGGGAGAGCAGCGAUCAAGCGUGAAGAGCUUUGGAGAGGCCUCGUUUAACUGAAGGAUGGCGGAGACCUGAAGGGAUCUAAAGAGAUGAGCAAAGUGAGGGGAGAGCAGAAUUUGAUGGUUACUUUCAGAGCCUUUUUUGAAUUUGUCAAUUUUGACAACAUUUUGACAACAUCCUCACCUGGAAGCCAUUUUGCUUUCAAACUACACCCCAAUCCAACUUUCACUCUCUUCCGCUUAAAUGCAUAAUUAUUCUAAUUCAUCGCUUUUUAUGAUCAGAGCAGCAGCUCAAGGUCAAAUUUAUAAAUGCAGUGUAGGCUGGUGAUAAAAUAGUAAUUCAAAUAUAUUUAUUAACAGACCGUAGUAAUAUAGCGGCAGGCAAUCAGUGCUGUUUUCUAUCACUCGUUGCUGGAGACAGAUGUCUUCAGUGUUUCUUGACUGAGAUUAGUGAAAGACUUAAAAAUGGCAUGUUGCUCACGACGAUUUAAGUUCUGAAAAUCUCUGAGUCCCUCCUUUUAAUUGGGUCAACUGCUGCUGAGCACUGCAUUGGUGUGGUUUGGUUGUCACGGAAACCAAAUGCGCCUCACGAGAUUUUGAUUCAAUAGAGCAUUGAUGUUUCAAACGUUUAAAAAUUCGAAAAAUCUUAUUCAUGGUGAAAAGUCAAACAAUUACAGUUAAUCUUCGGAGGAGAUUUAAAAGUGGACACUGAGAUAGCUUGCCUCAGAUCUCAGGGAAGGGAAAUAGAUACCUGAGGUCCUCGAGCUGGGAUUGCCCGGUCACCCCUGACCAGGCAAGUUUUUGGGACCUGAAGAAGGGUUGUUGUCAUAUGAAUUGUUUUUGCUCCAUGUGUAACACUUUUAUAACCACGGUGGCUGUUUUCAAGUGCUCUAUAAAUCCUGUUGAAUUGUGUUGAGUUAAGAAUUUAAGUAUGACACCAAAUGCAAGUCAUUUAAGCACAGUAUGUUUAAGGUGCAUCCUGAGCCGAAUAGAUGUCGAGAAUUUCUUGUAUGUUUACACUUGCAAAUAAAUUCCUGCUACAGUGCCAAAGCAGGGCGACCAAGCAUUUUGCUCGUGGGGCCUGCAUUGCUGUGUCAUCCGCACCGAUCCAGCACGAUGGGCCUCCGCCAAUUCCAAUUGGUUUCAUUCGACUGUCUGAAUAGCCCCAUCCAUUUCGGAUAAUGACGCCUCUAAUGGUGCUUCAGCGGGUGCUUGGCAGAUUUUGUGUGGCAGGCAAGUGGAGGCAGCAUGGGCACCAACGGUGGCAUUGUGACCAGACUCCAAAGAGGCUUUUGUCUCCUUGAUUUUAAAUUAGCCCAGAAACCAAAGCGGCGAAAGGAAGGAAGGGAGCGGGGUUAUGGAAGGAGAUGAAAAUGGCAAGAAAAAGAAGGAAAGAAGCCUCAAAUCUUUGCCCCAAAGCAAAAGAGCCAGGCUUAUGGGAGUGAAUUUGCUUUCAUGGGGGACAGUGGUCCUUUCCCGAGACAUAAAUAUGUCUGAAUAAUUCAUAUC